rnacentral:rRNA from 1 species
AUGGUCUCCAUGGCCGCCGCAGCAGACGACGACCACGACCGCCGCCGCGUCGCCAACCUCUCGCCGUCUCCCUCGGACGCCCCUGUUCCCGCGCAGCCGCACCGCAGGCGGCUCCACAGCUUCUCCUUCCCCACGCUCAGCUGGGGCACGCACCGCCUCCUCCGAUGCUCCAAGGACCCCGCCUCGGCGCCUCCGCCUCCGCCUCCGCACACCCCGUCCCCGGACAAGGAGAAGGCCCGUCGCUCCACGGAUGGCGGUGCCGGAGGCGGUUUGCCCCAGCGCCCCCCUCAGCGGCCCUGGAACCUCCGCACCCGCCGCUCCGCCACUGCCGCACCCGGUGCGGUCGGGCCGGAGGCCGCAGCCGAUGCUGCGGCGGAGCACGCGCCGGCGCGGCCUGCGCAGACCAAGAAGCGGGGGUUUUCCAUCGUGCUGUCCAAGGAGGAGAUCGCCCAGGACUUUGCCUUCUUCCGCGGUACGCGACCCCCGCGCCGGCCCAAGAAGCGCUCUCGCCCGGUGCAGCGCCAGCUCGACUCGCUGUGCCCUGGAUUGUCCCUAGUGGAUUUGACGCCGGACUCGUACAAGAUCGAGUGA